GCCGGCGGGGGUGGCGGGGAACUGUUGCUCUCAUGACUCAGCGCGCGGAGAAGGGCUGGCGUGGCUGAUGGAUGCCACCUAACGAAAGUUUCGCGGAGGAGGGGGAGCGCGGCGCGAUAGCCGACCUGGAUUUUUCCUUUGCAAGGCCGCGGGGACGCUUAGAAGAACAACGGGAGGCGCUGCCGCCUAGGCGCGCCUGCACAAAGUCCUCCGCUCGGCGUGGAAGACGCCCGGUGUUUCUGCAUCUUUCCAAAAUUCGAACAUCGCUGUACUGUUAAAAUGAAGCAGUUUAUUCCAGGAUAAUUUUAAGGGCUGGAAUAGGCAAGCACCGGCGCCUGAUGAACGAACCUGCCAUUAUUACCACCUAAGUGGAGUUUAUUUUUAUUUUUUUCCUUGGCAGAUAAGAGCAGAGGGGAAAUAUUCUCCCUGUCCUCUUUCAUUUGUAUCAGAG